GCUAGCUACAUCUACCAGAAUUCUGCUGGCCGGCCAGCAUACUACAUUGAGUACACUCUUUGGUGCUCUCGCGCAAAGCUCAGACCCCUCUACUUAUAAAUACUAACAGAAAUGUUAUCUAAGCAUAUAUCAAGUUCCUAAUAAGUAUAUAUAUCAGUUACCACCUCGCGUUUAUUCUCCAGAAAAUGUCUAGUACUUGCAGAAGCAGAGAAGGUAAGAGUUCAUGGGCGGAAUUGGAGGGAAUCAAUGGGGAAUUAGCAGCACAGAUCAUCGAAAGAGAGAACAAAAAUGUGAAUGCUGUUGUUGUUGCAGCAAACAGCUUUGGAACAUCGGAGAUCAAUUGCUUCAGAGUGAGGGUGAAAGUUGACAAAGACGGCAUUGUGACUUCCACCCCAAGGAUCGGUUAACUUGCAACAGCCUUCUGUUUUGUUUUCAUUUGAAUUUGUGAAGCAAUUGUUUGUAUCUUCUUUCAUGCAUGUAAAAGUUGAUUUUUGCUCUGUUUUUUCA